CAGAUAUAGUACAAAAGGUAUUUAGUAUCAAUGCACACUUACUCAGGUAAGUCAUACAGAUAUAGUACAGUAGGUAUUUGGUAUCAAUGCUUAUUUUAUAGUGUGUCUUUCUAUGUUGUAAUGUUACACUAUUGUUUCAGAUAAGGUUGAAGGUUGGUACCUAUUAAAAUGUUUAAACCCACUGCAUUUGUUUGCACCUGUAAGGAAUCUGAUGUUCAGUAGUUGUCGUUUGUUGAUGUGGUUCAUAAGUGUUUCUCAUUUCUCUUUUUAUAUAUAGAUUAGACCAUUGGUUUUCGCGUUUGAAUGGUUUUACACUAGUCAUUUUUGGGGCCCUUUAUAACUUGCUGUUCGUUGUGAGCCAAGGCUCUGUGUUGAAGACCGUACUUUGACCUAUAAUGGUUUACUUUUACAAAUUGUGACUUGGAUGGAGAGUUGUCUCAUUGGCACUCAAACCACAUCUUCUUAUAUCUAAUUACUUACUCAGGUAUGUCAAACAGAUAUAGUAAAGUAGGUAUUUGGUAUCAAUGCACACUUACUCAGGUAAGUCAAACAGAUAUAUUACAGUAGGUAUUAGGUAUCAAUGCUUACUUACUCAGGUAAGUCAUACAGAUAUAGUACAGUAGGUAUUUGGCAUCAAUGCUUGAUUACUCAGGUAAGUCAAACAGAUAUAGCACAGUAGGUAUUAGGUAUCAAUGCUUACUUACUCAGGUAAGUCAAACAGAUAUAGUACAGUAGGUAUUGGGUAUCAAUGCUUCCUUACUCAGGUCAGUCAUACAUAGUACUGUAGGUAUUUGGUAUCAAUGCUUACUUACUCAGGUCAGUCAAACAGAUAUAGUACAGUAGUUAUUUGGUAUCAAUGCUUACUUACACAGGUAAGUCAUACAGACAUAGUACAGUAGGUAUUGGGUAUCAAUGCUUACUUACUCAGGUAAGUCAAACAGAUAUAUUACAGUAGGUAUUAGGUAUCAAUGCUUACUUACUCAGGUAAGUCAUACAGAUAUAGUACAGUAGGUAUUUGGCAUCAAUGCUUGAUUACUCAGGUAAGUCAAACAGAUAUAGCACAGUAGGUAUUAGGUAUCAAUGCUUACUUACUCAGGUCAGUCAGACAGAUAGUGUACAGUAGGUAUUAGUAUCAAUGUUUACUUACUCAGGUAAGUCAAACAGAUAUAGUACAGUAGGUAUUGGGUAUCAAUGCUUACUUACUCAGGUAAGUCAAACAGAUAUAUUACAGUAGGUAUUAGGUAUCAAUGCUUACUUACUCAGGUAAGUCAUACAGAUAUAGUACAGUAGGUAUUUGGCAUCAAUGCUUGAUUACUCAGGUAAGUCAAACAGAUAUAGCACAGUAGGUAUUAGGUAUCAAUGCUUACUUACUCAGGUAAGUCAAACAGAUAUAGUACAGUAGGUAUUGGGUAUCAAUGCUUCCUUACUCAGGUCAGUCAUACAUAGUACUGUAGGUAUUUGGUAUCAAUGCUUACUUACUCAGGUCAGUCAAACAGAUAUAGUACAGUAGUUAUUUGGUAUCAAUGCUUACUUACACAGGUAAGUCAUACAGACAUAGUACAGUAGGUAUUGGGUAUCAGUGCUUCCUUACUCAGGUCAGUCAUACAUAGUACAGUAGGUAUUUGGUAUCAAUACUUACUUACUCAGGUCAGUCGAACAGACAUAGAACAGUAGGUAUAGGGUAUCAGUGCUUACUUACUCAGGUCAGUCAGACAGAUAUAGUACAGUAGGUAUUUGGUAUCAAUGCUUACUUACUCAGGAAAGUCAAACAGAUAUAUUACAGUAGGUAUUAGGUAUCAAUGCUUACUUACUCAGGUAAGUCAUACAGAUAUAGUACAGUAGGUAUUUGGCAUCAAUGCUUGAUUACUCAGGUAAGUCAAACAGAUAUAGCACAGUAGGUAUUAGGUAUCAAUGCUUACUUACUCAGGUAAGUCAAACAGAUAUAGUACAGUAGGUAUUGGGUAUCAAUGCUUACUUACUCAGGUCAGUCAAACAGACAUAGUACAGUAGGUAUUGGGUAUCAAUGCUUACUUACACAGGUAAGUCAUACAGACAUAGUACAGUAGGUAUUGGGUAUCAAUGCUUACUUACUAAGGUAAGUCAAACAGAUAUUAUACAGUAGGAAUUUGGUAUCAAUGCUUACUUACUCAGGUAAGUCAAACAGACAUAGUACAGUAGGUAUUGGGUAUCAAUGCUUCCUUACUCGGGUCAGUCAUACAUAGUACAGUAGGUAUUUGGUAUCAAUACUUACUUACUCAGGUCAGUCGAACAGACAUAGAACAGUAGGUAUAGGGUAUCAGUGCUUACUUACUCAGGUCAGUCAGACAGAUAUAGUACAGUAGGUAUUUGGUAUCAAUGCUUACUUACUCAGGUCAGUCAUACAGACAUAUUACAGUAGGUAUUGGGUAUCAAUGCUUCCUCACUCAGGUCAGUCAAUAGAUAUAGUACAGUAGGUAUUGGGUAUCAGUGCUUACUUACUCAGGUCAGUCAAAUAGACAUAGUACAGACGUUAUUAGUAUCAAAUGCUUACUUACUCAGGUCAGUCAAACAGAUAUAGUACAGUAGGUAUUGGGUAUCAGUGCUUACUUACUCAGGUCAGUCAAAUAGACAUAGUACAGUAGGUAUUAGUAUCAAAUGCUUACUUACUCAGUUCAGUCAAACAGAUAUAGUACAGUAGGUAUUAGUUUCAAUGCUUACUUACUCAGGUCAGUCAAAUAGACAUAGUACAGUAGGUAUUGGGUAUCAAUGCUUCCUCACUCAGGUCAGUCAAUAGAUAUAGUACAGUAGGUAUUGGGUAUCAAUGCUUCCUCACUCAGGUCAGUCAAUAGAUAUAGUACAGUAGGUAUAGGGUAUCAGUGCUUCCUUACUCAGGUAAGUCAUACAGACAUAGUACAGUAGGUAUUAGUAUCAAUGCUUACUUACUCAGGUCAGUCAAACAGAUAUAGUACAGUAGGUAUUGGGUAUCAAUGCUUACUUACUCAGGUAAGUCAUACAGACAUAGUACAGUAGGUAUUAGUAUCAAUGCUUACUUACUCAGGUCAGUCAAACAGAUAUAGUACAGUAGGUAUUUGGUAUCAAUGCUUACUUACUCAGGUAAGUCAUGCAGAUAUAGUACAGUAGGUAUUGGGUAUCAAUGCUUUCUUACUCAGGUAAGUGGUACUAUAAAACAUUAUUCUGUUUCUGUAUUUUUAUAUUAUUUGUAAUAUAAAUGUAUUUAAGAGCAAAGAAAGACGUUUCUAUAUAUUGUUUGGUAGAUUUUCUCUUGUCAUGAAAGUUUAAAUUUGCUGGUCAAUUUUAUGUUGAUAUCACUACCACAGGGUCUGCAGCUGCUAUUGAAUACAUUCUCGAGGGUACCAACC